AAGAUGAUUAUAAAUAAUUUCUUCUAUGUUGGAUGGCAACAGUCUGGAUGAAAAAUAGAACAGCUAUGGUGAAUAAAUAUUUGCUAACCUUCUGAAUAAGUCUAUCUUGUAUUAAAGUGAUAAAACAACACUUCAGUGGUGACCCGAACGUGAUUGUGACAAGGUCUGGAAGACAUGUACACUUUUCAGCAAAACUGAGUCAACGUCAAGAGAUCUGGCGUCAAAAAGUAUGGCUAUUUGAAGGAAGAUGGAGUAGUUGAGAAAAAGAAGGGAAAACCCUUCAAUCACAAAUCAUAUUUUAAAGAUGUUGUCUUGGACAACUAUGAUGUGAUUAAACCAUUCGUUGGUAGAAUCGGCUCAGAAUAUUUGGAUCUCAAUUUGGCUCAGCCAGAAAAUCUUGAUGCUGCAUUCUCCAGUGAUCCUAAUGAAGCUGGCAAUUCUGAGAUCAAAAAUGAUCCAAAUAAUUGUCAGAAUUAAAUUGUUCAUACUUUGAACAUUUAUACUUUCUUGACAUUUUCAACAGAAAUGUGAAGGAUUUGACGUAUAAUUUGAUGAGCCCUUGAUGGAUGAACUCUUUUAUUGAAAUUGAAAACUUACCUGACUAGUUCAUUCAAACUCAAAACAUUUGAGAGACUAUUGACUAUUGUGAAAUAUGAGCCAUUGAAAUUGUGGAAUUGUUUUUGAAACUUCUCUAGAAAUUUACGCAAAAACUUAAUGAAUUUGAACAACUCAUUAACAUUGUGAUAUGAGCCCCUAAAAAGGAUGGACUCACUGUUUUCGAAACUGAAAACUCACCCGACUAUGUCAUAAGAACCCAAAUAUUUCGAAUGACUCACGAAUAUUGUGUGAUAUGAGCCCCUAAAAAGGAUGAACUCACUGUUUUCGAAACUGAAAACUCACCCGACUAUGUCAUAAAACCUAAAUAUUUUGAAUGACUCGCGAAUAUUGUGUGAUAUGAUCCCUUAAAAAGGAUGGACUCACUGAUUUCGAAAUUGAAAACUCUCCCAAGUAUGUCGUAAACGCCCAAAUAUUUUGAAUGACUCAAGAAUAUUGUGUGAUAUGAGCCCCUAAAAAGGAUGAACUCACUGUUUUCGAAACUUGAAACUCUCCCGACUAUGUCAUAAAAUCUCAAAUCUUUUGAAUGACUCACGAAUAUUGUGUGAUAUGAGCCCUUAAAAAGGACGGACUCAAUGUUUUCGAAACUGAAAACUCACCCGACUAUAUCGUAAAAUUCUCAAAGAUUGUGAACGAAUCAUGACUAUUCUGAGAUGCGAGUCGUUGAAAGGACGGACUUUCUGUUUUUGAAACUUAAAUUCUCAACAUUUCGAAAAGCUGUACCUGAUUUCUUAAAUAAUAAUUAUAAAAAAAAAUUUAAAAAAAAUAAAAACAAAAAAAAACAAAAGAUAAUGUUUUGUUAUUGAUCUGCUUUUUGUAAUGCUUCAUGUAACACAAA